UACAGGGGGGUGCAAACGUUGCUCGGAAUCGAUUGGGCGUAAAGCGCACGUAGGCGGUUCGUUAUGUCGGAUGUGAAAGCCCUUGGCUUAACCGAGGAAGUGCAUCCGAAACUGGCGAGCUAGAGUACUAAAGAGGAUCGCGGAAUUCCCGGUGUAGAGGUGAAAUUCGUAGAUAUCGGGAGGAACACCGGUGGCGAAGGCGGCGAUCUGGGUAGAUACUGACGCUGAGGUGCGAAAGCGUGGGGAGCAAACAGG
rnacentral:rRNA from 1 species